rnacentral:misc_RNA from 1 species
GAAGAACCUCAAAGGCCAAAUCUAUUCAAUUCCAUGCAUGCAUGAAGAGACUAAGACUAGCCAACACUCACUUCUCUCGAAUCAAAACCCUUAUCUCCCAAAACUCUUAUCAGCAAGCUCUCAAAUCCUCACUCACUGUAUCUUGUUUCUCUCCUCUCCUUACUGAUCAAAUAUACGCUCUCUUCAUCAAGUCUGGCAACAAUCUUGAACCCUACCUUUCCACUGUUCUCAUUUCUCACUUCUCUAAACAAAAUGACCUUUCUCGAGCUCUCACUUUCCUUUUAGACACGCAUAACCCAGAUAUUAUCACCUAUAACGCCCUCAUUUCUGGGUUUGCCCGGUUUAGCCAGCCUGGGCCUGUUUUUGAGCUUUUUAAUGACUUGAGGCACCUGGGUCUGGUUCCUGAUGUGUUUACUUUUAGUUCUUUGAUCAAAGGGUGUUGCAGUUUGAGAGAGAAUGGGGUUGCACAUGGGGUUUGUUUGAGGCUGGGGUUUGAGCGUAGGGCGUUUAUUGUUAGCGGGUUGAUUGAGAAUUAUGCAAAAAAUGGGGACAUGGAGUCGGCUGAGAGGUGUUUUGAGGAGUGCUUUUGUGUGGAUAAUGUGCUUUACACAGCUAUGCUUUGUGGGUAUAUGUGGAAUGGGGAGUUUGAAAAGGGAAAAGAGGUUUUUGCUUAUAUGAGGGGUUUAGGAUUCGAAUUGAAUGAGUUUAGCUUAACUGGGGUAAUUGGUGCUUUAUUUGAUAUUAAGGAAGGGGAACAGAUUCAUGGGUUUGCUGUCAAAAAGGGACUUUUGUAUAGUUGUUCAUUGCAUUUGAAUAAUGCUGUUAUGAGUAUGUACUCCAGGUGUGGUAGUAAAGUCGAUGCUAUUAAGGUGUUUGAUGAAAUUCCUGAGCCAGAUGUUGUUUCUUGGACUGAGAGGAUAGGAGCAGCUUGUGAUGGUGAGGAAGCGUUGGAAUGUUUUGGAAUUUUGCAUUCUAUAGGUUUAGAUAUUAAUGAAUACACUUUGAUCAAUGUUUUUUCUGCCAUUGGAGGAGCGAAGUUCUUGAAAGCAGCUAAGCAAAUUCAAGCACUUUGUCAUAAGACAGGGUAUUUGCAGGUGGUUUCUGUUGGCAAUGCAUUGGUGUCCAUGUAUGGGAAGUCUAGGCAAAUGCAUGAUGCUAGGCACAUUUUUUAUGAUAUGAUCUAUCGAGAUUCUGUUUCUUGGAAUUCUCUGAUAUCUGCAUGUUCUGAGAAUGGAUUUGUUAGUGAGGCGCUGGAGGCGUUCUCACGUAUGUCUGAUCUUGCACUGCAGCCCACCAUCUAUACUCUCUUUAGCAUUCUUGAAACAGUUUCCAACUUGAAAUGUACAAAGCAGGCAAUGCAAAUCCAUUCACAUGUGAUUAAAUGUGGAUUCAUGAUAGAUGAUUCCAUGGUUUCCAGCUUGAUAAUAGCAUAUGGGAGAUGCAAUAGUAUGGAUGACUCAAAAAGGAUAUUUGGUGAGAUUGAUGAGGUAAACUUGGCACAUAUGAAAGUGAUGAUGACAAAUUUGGUCCAUAGUGGGCUUUAUGCGGAUGCUUUGAAUUUGUUUCAAACCAUAUGGAGAUCAUGCCUUGAAGUGGAUGGCAAAACUUUUAGUAUUGUCUUUAAAGCCUUUGGUGCUAUGACAGAUAUGGAACAGGGGAGAGCAAUUCAUUCCCUAUCUCUAAAAUAUGGAUUUGAUCAGGAUAGCUUUGUUGAAAGUGCUCUCAUUGACAUCUACUGUAAGUGCGGAAACAUAGGAGAUGCAGUGAAAAUAUUCAGGAGUAUGUCUACAGACAAUUUGGCUGGCUGGAAUGCCAUGGUAAUAGGAUAUGCUCAACACGGUUGUUGUCAAGAAGCUUUCAAGAUUUUCGAUGAGAUGUCUGAAUUUGGAGUUGAACCUGAUGAAAUAACUUAUAUCGGUGUCCUUACUUCAUGCUGCCAUGCAGGGCUACUGAAGAAAGCACGUUAUUACUUCAAAUCUAUGUUUGAACUUCAUGGAAUUAUCCCAUGUUUAGAACAUUAUGCAUGCAUGGUAGAUCUGCUUGGUCGAGUAGGACUCCUGGAAGAUGCAAAGGAGAUUAUAGAUCAUAUGCCUAUUCAACCUGAUGUUCAUUUAUGGCAAAUUCUUCUAUCAGCCUGCAGCAUCCACAGACAUCUUGAACUGGGGAGAGUUGCAGCUAGUAAACUUCUUGAGCUGCAACCUGAAAAUGAAUCUACUUAUAUUCUUCUAUCAAACCUGUAUGCUUCUGUGGGCAUGUGGGGUGCUGUUGGAAAAUUGAGAAAAGAGAUGAAGGAAAAAGUACUACACAAAGAACCUGGUUCUAGUUGGAUUCAAGUGGGAAGAACAAUCCAUAACUUUUUGGUCGAUGACAUCUCACAUCCUCAAAAUAAAGAAGUUUACGUAGAGUUGAUAAGGCUGUAUGGGCAAAUGUUAACUUUGCCAGAGUUGGAACUUGAUGGUGUUUUUCUAUAGACCUAUGCUUUGUGAAGCUCAGGAAAUUUCCUUAAUUUCUAUAAAAUCCAACAGAUGUCCGUCACUUUUCUUAUUACAACAGAUAUCUAUCAGUUUGUCUAACCAGGAGGUUUUCCUGUGGGAAUGGUGGCGAUUUGGAGAGGCUCUGGAUAAAACAGAAACAAUGGAGUGAAAAGCAUUUGCUGCUAUCUUUGACUUUAUUUGCCCUCGCCUUGGAAGUGGCCUUGUGCCCAUGAAAUUCUUGCUGAAUGCAGUAGCAGGAAUGUCACUGACUUUGUCGUUCAUGAUGCCAACCAAGGUAUGCUAAUCAACUUUUUCUUUCUGGGGCUUUCUGGUUUGAUAAUUGUGGAUAUUUGAUUGUGUUGCUCACAUUGGGAGUUUAUAUAGUGAAGGAACAAGUCAUUGUAUACCGGGGGCUGGGGAUGAUUAAUCUGGUGGUGUGAAUAAAGACUUUUUCAGAGCCUCAGAGGUGAGGAGUUGGGAGGCAUGCCAGCGGAUUUGUCUGGCUGUAUAAGAUUCUUUUUAGCUCAACUUGAGACAAGUUGAGUUCAUGGCAUGAUUUGUCAAUUGAUUGACUGACAAAUGAUCCACAGUUUAAUAAGCAUAAUGAUAAUUUUGAGUCUACCUGACCAUGCACACGUGCAGGUUCAAGUGGUAUCCAGGAGCUCUCUUCUGGAUCUUGAGUUGGAUUUUACUUUUUCAUGAGGAUUACAUUGUCAGGUCGCACAACUUGCUCUCUGAGAAGUAUAAUAAGCGGAUCAGAAGUGUCAAUAACUACAAAGGCCUCAAUAGUCAACGAUACCAUUCUGAUUUGGAUUCAGUAAAUGGGUAAUGAUUCCUAAUACCUGGAGCUCUACCACCCGAAAACACCAUCAUAUAGGCAAAAUCAAUUAGCUGGCAUGCCUCCUAACUUCCACUCGUUGCUAUAGCCUAUAAAGCCUACUCCUGCUGCUGCACACACCCUCCCAUUAGAAUAAUACCUCUUGUCUUUAGUGCUAAAUUUACUUAUUUUUUAUCUUUUCUUCCAAAAUAUUGUCUUGACCCUUUUGAAGGUCAAAAGAAAAGAAUCCAAUUGCAUGAGAU